rnacentral:rRNA from 1 species
UACGUAGGGUGCGAGCGUUGUCCGGAAUUAUUGGGCGUAAAGAGCUCGUAGGCGGCUUGUUGCGUCGACCGUGAAAACCCGUGGCUUAACUGCGGGCCUGCAGCCGAUACGGGCAGACUAGAGUUCGGCAGGGGAGACUGGAAUUCCUGGUGUAGCGGUGAAAUGCGCAGAUAUCAGGAGGAACACCGGUGGCGAAGGCGGGUCUCUGGGCCGAUACUGACGCUGAGGAGCGAAAGCGUGGGGAGCGAACAGG